AGCCCAGCUUGCUGGGUGGAUUAGUGGCGAACGGGUGAGUAACACGUGAGUAACCUGCCCUUAACUCUGGGAUAAGCCUGGGAAACUGGGUCUAAUACCGGAUAGGAGCGUCCACCGCAUGGUGGGUGUUGGAAAGAUUUAUCGGUUUUGGAUGGACUCGCGGCCUAUCAGCUUGUUGGUGAGGUAAUGGCUCACCAAGGCGACGACGGGUAGCCGGCCUGAGAGGGUGACCGGCCACACUGGGACUGAGACACGGCCCAGACUCCUACGGGAGGCAGCAGUGGGGAAUAUUGCACAAUGGGCGCAAGCCUGAUGCAGCGACGCCACGUGAGGGAUGACGGCCUUCGGGUUGUAAACCUCUUUCAGUAGGGAAGAAGCGAAAGUGACGGUACCUGCAGAAGAAGCACCGGCUAACUACGUGCCAGCAGCCGCGGUAAUACGUAGGGUGCGAGCGUUAUCCGGAAUUAUUGGGCGUAAAGAGCUCGUAGGCGGUUUGUCGCGUCUGUCGUGAAAGUCCGGGGCUUAACCCCGGAUCUGCGGUGGGUACGGGCAGACUAGAGUGCAGUAGGGGAGACUGGAAUUCCUGGUGUAGCGGUGGAAUGCGCAGAUAUCAGGAGGAACACCGAUGGCGAAGGC
rnacentral:rRNA from 1 species